GGGGGGUCUCUCCAACUCUGGGACGUGUCCAGCAAUCCAAACCUGUCCUUCUUUUGUUCCUACAAAUCUCUUCAUACUGUCACUACCCUCUGGAGUCUGCCUUUCUCCCAUGCUCCUCCCUUGGAAUCGCCUGCACCCACCGGGAGGACAGCGGAAGAGAGAAGCCAGGAUCCAUAAGGCAGUGUGUGUGGCAACAAAGAGAAGCUACCACAAAUGCACGCAGAUACAUACAUAUGCUGGGACUUGCUCUACCGGGUUGCUGCGUUCCCCUGCCUCUGCCUCACUGGGUAGAAUUCUGCUGGCCCCAGAGUAGCUACAGGAUUCCACAGCUCCAUUCUGAUCUUGCCUCUACCCUGCUCACAAGAAGUCUCCAGUCCCCAACUGGAUUAGGGGAGUAUUUCUGUCUGGCUCACCCCAAAGCCUUUUUUAUGUUCCUAGAGAUACCUGCAUCUGUGUUUCAAAUGUCUCCAAGUUCCUGUUUGUGAUGUUGCUAUCUCUGCCUAAAAAAAUAAAAUAAAAAGCUUUGUGCACUGGAGGCAAACUCCAA
rnacentral:lncRNA from 1 species